AGGGGUAUUAGUUUAAAGGUAAAACAUGAUGCUACGGACAUCAGGAUUGUAGUUCAAAUCUACAAUGCCCCUU
rnacentral:tRNA from 1 species